rnacentral:rRNA from 1 species
AGAAUCAACGCUGGCGGCGUGCCUAACACAUGCAAGUCGAACGAGAAAGUGGAGCAAUCCAUGAGUAAAGUGGCGCACGGGUGAGUAACACGUGACUAACCUACCUUUUAGUGGGGGAUAACCUAGGGAAACCUGGGCUAAUACCGCAUAAUACCCACGGGUCAAAGCAGCAAUGCGCUUGGAGAGGAGUUCGCGGCAGAUUAGUUAGUUGGCGGGGUAAUGGCCCACCAAGACGAUGAUCUGUA